rnacentral:rRNA from 1 species
UGACCGCUGGCGGCAGGCCUAACACAUGCACGUCGAGCGGAUGAAGGGAGCUUGCUCCUGGAUUCAGCGGCGGACGGGUGAGUAAUGCCUAGGAAUCUGCCUGGUAGUGGGGGAUAACGUCCGGAAACGGGCGCUAAUACCGCAUACGUCCUGAGGGAGAAAGUGGGGGAUCUUCGGACCUCACGCUAUCAGAUGAGCCUAGGUCGGAUUAGCUAGUUGGUGGGGUAAAGGCCUACCAAGGCGACGAUCCGUAACUGGUCUGAGAGGAUGAUCAGUCACACUGGAACUGAGACACGGUCCAGACUCCCACGGGAGGCAGCAGUGGGGAAUAUUGGACAAUGGGCGAAAGCCUGAUCCAGCCAUGCCGCGUGUGUGAAGAAGGUCUUCGGAUUGUAAAGCACUUUAAGUUGGGAGGAAGGGCAGUAAGUUAAUACCUUGCUGUUUUGACGUUACCAACAGAAUAAGCACCGGCUAACUUCGUG